rnacentral:lncRNA from 1 species
UGUAGGUGUAAUUUGUAGGUGUAAUUUGUGCAUCUGGAUGUUUGUGAAUGCUCAUCCCCUCUCUAAGUGUUGGUGGUUGAAUACCCUUUCUAGUAGAGUCCUGUGUGGUGUGUUUAAGUUGUUUGUCUGUGGGGAGUAAUGGCUGGUGAUGUGGCUGUCCUGUGUGAGUGUGUGAUCUGCUACCUGUCUGUCUUCACCGCCACAGCUCCACAUCAGCCACAGGCCGGCCCCUCAACCUUUCCAGGGCCGGGGUGAGAAUCUCUUCAGCUCCUCUCAGCUGCCAGGCAUGCUCAGCCACGCCUUACUGAUUUACACUGGAAGCCAUGGCAGGAGCCAGGGCCACCGUGGACCCUCUGAAAAACAAACCACUGACAGGCACCAACCACAGGAGUGUGGGGACUCUCUCUCCCCUGAUCUGCACCAGGAGCAGGGUCACAGCCUCUACAGGCUGUCUUGAGUAAGAAGUGGUGUCAUCCUCCACUCCCAUCCGUCGGUUGGGAUUUGCCUCAGAGCUUCCCGAGACGGCCUGAUUUGUGUGACAAACAC